AGGGAGACAGAGAACGGAAGGUAAAGGCAGCAGGUGCAAGGUGGAAGGUGGCACCCAUGCCCGUGUGUGGUCAAUGGAGGUGAGACAGGCCCUGGGGACACAGCACUGGGCGGGACAGACAAAGUCACAUGCAGCUUACGUUCUAGGUGUGUGUGGAAUACACAGAAAAGAACGAGGGAAAGAGAAAGGAGGGAGUGAGGGAGGGAAAGCAGGAGGAUGGAAGGAAGGAAGGGGAGAAAAGGAAGGGAGGGAGGGAGGAGGGAGAAAGCGGGGAAGGGCCAAAUAGUGUCUGUCACUACAGCUCAGCACCAUUGUAGCAGAGGCAGCAUAGACAAUCAUGAAUGAACACUUGGCUGUGUGCCAAUAAAGCUUUAUUUAUAAGAGCUAUUAAGGGGCCAGAUUUGGCCCCAGGGUUGUAGUUUGCUGCUUUCAGAUGUAGGCCCUGUGUAUUAGUCCCUUCUUACACUGUUAUGAAGAAAUAGCCAAGACUGGGUAAUUUAAGAAAAGAGGUUUAGUUGACUCCCAGUUCCACAUGGCUGGGGAGGCCUCAGGAAACUUAUAAUUAUGGCAGAAGGCACCUCUUCACAGGGUGGCAGCAGAGAGAAUGACUGCAAGCAGGGGAAAUGCCAGAUCCUUAUAAAACCAUCAAAUCUCUUGAGACUCACUCACUAUCCCAAGAACAGCAUGGUGGAAACCGCCCCCAUGAUUCAAUUACCUCCCACCAGGUCCCUCCCAGGACACGUGGGGACUAUGGGGAUUACAAUUCAAGAUAAGAUUUUGGUGGGGACACAGCCAAACCAUAUCAGCCCUUGAAGCCUGAGGUCAAGGGCAGGACCAGGUGGAGGUGAUUGAAUCAUGGAGGUGGUUUCCCCCCUGCUGUUCUUGUGAUGAGGUGCCUGCUUGCCAUGAUUAUGUUUCCUGAGGCCUCCCCAGCCAUGUGGAACUGUGAGUUCAUUAAACCGCUUUUCUUUAUAAAUUACCUAGUCUCAAGUAUUUCUUCAUAGCGGCAUUAGAACAGACUAAUACAGGAAGGCAUCAACAUCGAGGCCACAGCUGUGACUGACCGCGUUGUACGUGGACUGACCAUGUUGUAUGUGGUGAUUUAAUUCUCUCAUCUGUCUUCUCAAAGAUACCACCU